rnacentral:lncRNA from 1 species
UUUGAAGCUAGCCUGGGCUACAUUAGAUGCUGUCUCAAAAACAGAUGGGAGGGGAAGGAAAGGAAACUGCCAACAGAGAAAUGAAUAAUACAAUAAUUAUUCGGGUAUCUCAGUGCAUCUCUGCACAUUGGCUUGGACCCAUUUCUAGCCAGGCCACAGGUCUCUCAAGCAAGCCUAGGGCACAUUUCAUCAAAGCGUUAGGUGGUGUUAGAGCAGCAUCUCAUCUAGGAGUCAUCAACACUGCUUUUAAAUAAUGUAUCAGCCAGACCGUAAUGGGGCACGCCUUCAACCCCAGAGGCAGGUGGAUCUCUGUGAGUUUGAGGUGGCAAAGGUUGAAGGAUCUCCAUGCAUUUAAUGCCGGCCAGAGUUCCAGAGUUACACAGUAAGUCACACACACACACACACACACACACACUCACACCACACGCCACAGAACCACAGCUUGUGGCUUAUAAUUAUGAUAAGGACAACCCAAUGGCAGGGGCUAUCAACUGGCCCCAAAGCUAAAGACAGACACUCGUCCUGAUAUUGGAGCAUAGAACAGUCACCAGCAGGCUGAGAAAUCAAGACUAGCUGUCACGGAGUGAGAAUACUUACUUCCUUUUCACUUAGUCAAAGGACAGGAGGCAUAACUUCUGCCCUCAGGAAUCCUACCUUUCUGGGAAGAAUGCAGUUUUCAUGCUCAUCUCAAUAAACGCCUGGUGGGCAGACACUGGGCUCUGGGUUCUCACCCACUCUGGCGUACCAGCCUUAAUUCUCCAAGGCGUAUCCACCCUCCCUCUCUCAUCCCUUCCCACAGCCUUGGACUUACUAUCUGGGAAUGGUCUGUGAGGAGGCAUACCUAAUCUUGGGCCCAAGCAGCACAUCCAGUGUCCCCUUCAGGAAGCCUUCCCUGACCCUCCAUGGUCUUUGUCACCCUCCACCUGUCCACACGCUCCGCAAGGCAUGGGUAUCAGGAAAGUGCCACGUGAUGCCUCGGAGCUCAAAGCCUGUUCCUUGGAUCAGCCACAUCAGCCAGCCCCGGGAACUGAUCAGCAGACCAGCAGAUGAGCAUCUAUCUCUUCAGGAUAUUCGGAUGUGCCAAGGUCGGCAAGGAACACGAGACUUUGAACGCAUUCCAGAAGUCACCCCAGUUUUUGUUCCCUUGGCUCUAACUGCCCCCUCCCAUGGGACUGAUUUUCUCUGGCACUCUGCUCCAGGCUGCUGGACCAUCUUGCUUCACUGGGAGAGAGAACCGAGUACUGGAACUGUUCCCAUCCCCCUCUUUUGGCUCCUAGUCAACACAGCAAGGGCUCCUUGCCCCGCUCCAGGCUGCCUCCUCCUCCAUGAAGCUCUGCUGACAUAGGGCUGGCAAGAAACCAUGGGUGGCCCUGGCAUCCAAACUCUGCCUGGAAGCAUCCUCCAGACCAUCAGGAGCCCCAGUCCUCAGCAGCCAACCCGUCGUCCCCUCCUUGCAUGACAGAGCCGGAUGUGGGUGCCACGAGGCAGACUCCUUCCUGGCAUCUCUCCUGCCCUGACAGCUUCUGGCCUAUCACCAUCCAGGUACAAGCUUCUGUCACACCAAUGCUGUAGGAGAAAAGGACACUCAGGAUGCUCAGGACAGCCACACAGCUGAGCCUCCAUCAUGGCCAGUAAGGACAUGGCCUCUCCUAAGCACUCUUCUGGCUGUUUCUUCAGUUGCUCCUGAGGACAACUGUGAGGAACUCUAUCAUACACUGGGCUCUCGGCUGGCAGCUUUCGUGUAGUCCUCCUAAGCAGGUGAGCUCACUUUGCGAAAAUCCAGGAAGCCAUACGCUUAGCAUCUGAACACUCUGGAUGCUAUAAUUUUUAAAAGUUUAUGAGAUAAAUAAAUUUAGAAAUGACCCAGCCA